rnacentral:rRNA from 1 species
GACGAACGCUGGCGGCGUGCUUAACACAUGCAAGUCGAACGGAAAGGCCCUGCUUUUGUGGGGUGCUCGAGUGGCGAACGGGUGAGUAACACGUGAGUAACAUGCCCUUGACUUUGGGAUAACUUCAGGAAACUGGGGCUAAUACCGGAUAGGAUCUCCUGCUGCGUGGGGGGGGUUGGAAAGAUUCGGCGGUUGUGGAUGGUCUGGCGGCUUAUCCGCUUGUUGGGGGGGUAGUUGCUUACCAAGGCUUUGACGGGUAGGCCGCCUGGGAGGGGGACCGGGCACCAUGGGACUGAGAGACGGCGCAGUAGCGAAUGGUACGCAGUGGGCGGGAACCUGGCGCAACGGGGGGAAGCCUGUGGUGGAAAUCUUCGGAUCGUGAUGCCCGGUUAUUGGGGGUAAACAGCUGUCGAAGUAGAUGUACACUGCGUGACGGUAACUGGUAAAGAAGCACCGGCUAACUACGUG